rfam:Rattus norvegicus chromosome 2, whole genome shotgun sequence.
GGGGAUUUAGCUCAGUGGUAGAGCGCUUGCCUAGCAAGCACAAGGGCCUGGGUUUGGUCCCCAGCUCCG